CAGUAGCCACGGGAAAACGGAGGGUGCAAGCGUUAUCCGGAUUUAUUGGGUUUAAAGGGUCCGUAGGCGGACUUAUAAGUCAGUGGUGAAAGCCUGUCGCUUAACGAUAGAACUGCCAUUGAUACUGUAAGUCUUGAGUAUAUUUGAGGUAGCUGGAAUAAGUAGUGUAGCGGUGAAAUGCAUAGAUAUUACUUAGAACACCAAUUGCGAAGGCAGGUUACCAAGAUAUAACUGACGCUGAGGGACGAAAGCGUGGGUAGCGAACAGGAUUAGAUACCCCGGUAGUCCCUGUCUCUUAUAA
rnacentral:rRNA from 1 species